AUGCACCUGGUGGGUUGGGACAAAGUUCCUUUAAGGAAGAGAGAUGGAGGUCUUGGCAUUAGAACUACUAGAGAGGCUAAUAAUGCUAUUCUUGCUAAGGCAGGGCGGAAGGAAACUGCUUCUAGAGGCCAUAGUUAUGCAUGCGCUUUGGUUGGUUACCAGAUUGAGACUAUAGCUAUAGUGAGUCAACUAGCCUCUUCAGGAGCCCUCAAUCAGUUUUGA